rnacentral:rRNA from 1 species
AACGAACGCUGGCGGCGCGCCUAAUACAUGCAAGUCGAGCGAGAAGGUGUAGCAAUACACUUGUAAAGCGGCGAACGGGUGAGGAAUACAUGGGUAACCUACCCUCGAGUGGGGAAUAACUGGCCGAAAGGUUAGCUAAUACCGCAUACGAUUCCGGGACUUCGGUUCCGGAAGGAAAGCGAUACCGUGGGUAUCGCGCUCCUGGAUGGGCUCAUGUCCUAUCAGCUUGUUGGUGAGGUAACGGCUCACCAAGGCUUCGACGGGUAGCUGGUCUGAGAGGACGAUCAGCCACACUGGCACUGCGACACGGGCCAGACUCCUACGGGAGGCAGCAGUAAGGAAUAUUGCGCAAUGGGCGAAAGCCUGACGCAGCGACGCCGCGUGGGGGAUGAAGGUCUUCGGAUUGUAAACCCCUUUCGGGAGGGAAGAUGGGAUGGGUAACCAUCCGGACGGUACCUCCAGAAGCAGCCACGGCUAACUUCGUGCCAGCAGCCGCCGUAACAC